rnacentral:rRNA from 1 species
UGAGGAAUAUUGGGCAAUGCCCGCAAGGGUGACCCAGCAACGCCGCGUGGAGGAUGAAUGUCGUAAGAUUGUAAACUCCUGUUAGAGGGGAAGAAUAGUACCGGUUGGACCGGUAUAUGACUGUACCCUCAGAGAAAGCCCCGGCUAACUACGUGCCAGCAGCCGCGGUAAUACGUAGGGGGCAAGCGUUGUCCGGAUUUACUGGGUGUAAAGGGCGCGCAGGCGGGAUAAAAAGUCAGUGGUGAAAUCCUACAGCUUAACUGUAGAACUGCCUUUGAUACUUUUAUUCUUGAGUUCGGGAGAGAGAGACGGAAUUCCAGGUGUAGUGGUGAAAUACGUAGAUAUCUGGAAGAACACCAGUUGCGAAGGCGGUCUCUUGGUCCGACACUGACGCUGAGGCACGAAAGCGUGGGGAGCAAAC